rnacentral:rRNA from 1 species
GACGAACGCUGGCGGCGUGCUUAACACAUGCAAGUCGAACGGAAAGGCCCCUUUGGGGGUACUCGAGUGGCGAACGGGUGAGUAACACGUGAGUAACCUGCCCUUGACUUCGGGAUAACUUCAGGAAACUGGGGCUAAUACCGGAUAGGAAUCCUUGCUGCAUGGUGGGGGUUGGAAAGCUUCGGCGGUUUUGGAUGGACUCGCGGCUUAUCAGCUUGUUGGUGGGGUAGUGGCUUACCAAGGCUUUGACGGGUAGCCGGCCUGAGAGGGCGACCGGCCACAUGGGGGUGGGGGCACGGCGGAGAGGCGGAGGGGAGGAGGGAGGGGGGAGGAUUGCACGGUGGGCGGAAGGCGGAGGGAGGGCCGCGGGGGCGGGGGGGCGGGCGGCGGGGUUGGAAAGCGCGGCCAGAGGGGGGGGGGCGUGGGGGGCCGGUAGCGGAAGAGGAAGCACCGGCUAACGAGGGGCAAGAGGGCGCGGUAAGAGUGGGAAGCGCACACGUCUGAAC